UACGGAGGGUGCAAGCGUUAGGCGGAAUCACUGGGCUUAAAGCGUGUGUAGGUGGAUGCCUAAGUACCUUGUGAAAUCCCAUGGCUUAACCAUGGAAUUGCUUGGUAUACUGGGUGUCUUGAGCCACUCAGGGGCGAGCGGAACAAACGGUGGAGCGGUGAAAUGCGUAGAUAUCGUUUGGAACGCCAAUGGUGAAAACAGCUCGCUGGGGGUGCGCUGACCACUGAGACACGAAAGCCAGGGGAGCAAACGGG
rnacentral:rRNA from 1 species